rnacentral:rRNA from 1 species
UGCUUUUCCGCCGGCGACCGGCGCACGGGUGCGGAACGCGUAUGGAACCUGCCCCUGUCAGGGGAAUAGCCCAGGGAAACUUGGAUUAAUGCCCCAUGGUACCGCGAUAUCGCAUGAUAUUGCGGUUAAAGAUUUAUCGGACAGGGAUGGCCAUGCGUACCAUUAGUUAGUUGGUGGGGUAACGGCCCACCAAGGCAGCGAUGGUUAGGGGCCCUGAGAGGGGGAUCCCCCACACUGGUACUGAGACACGGACCAGACUCCUACGGGAGGCAGCAGUGAGGAAUAUUGGACAAUGGGCGGGAGCCUGAUCCAGCCAUGCCGCGUGCAGGAUGACGGCCCUAUGGGUUGUAAACUGCUUUUAUACGGGAAGAAAUGCGCCCACGUGUGGGCGUCUGACGGUACCGUAAGAAUAAGGACCGGCUAACUCCGUGCCAGCAGCCGCGGUAAUACGGAGGGUCCGAGCGUUAUCCGGAAUCAUUGGGUUUAAAGGGUCCGUAGGCGGGCCUGUAAGUCAGGGGUGAAAGUUUGUGGCUCAACCAUAAAAUUGCCUUUGAUACUGCAGGUCUUGAGUCAUGGUGGGGUCGCCGGAACAUGUGGUGU